CUUCGGAACUGUUUGUGGGAAUUUGAUUCUCAAAUGACAAAACUUCUAUUUGAACAAUUCUGUGGUAUUGUUGACAUAAAUCACAACUCUUCCAGUUGAGUUUUAUUGCAACUUGUCUAUAAUCUAAAAUAGGGGAAAGGGAAUUGGGUGUGAUUAUUUUUGUAUAGAUCAAAAACAAUAUAAUGUUAAUCUUGGAAAUCGGCCACCAACUUCAAUGAACUUAAAUGAAAAGUUGGUUUCAAAACAUUCAUUUCAACUCAAGGACGUAAUUAACCAAUGCACAAUUUUUCAUGAGUUAAAGAAAAAUGUUAAUUGCAUGAUUUCUUCUUCCUAUCAUAAAUACAUAACAAAUAAUUAUGCAAUAUGUCUGAAUAUGUUACUUUACUACUUUGGGGCACUUAUUUGAAAAUGUUUUUUUAUAUACAGAAAUGCAUGAAUUAGAGUAAUAUAUUCAGAAGCUGAAAAGACUAAACAACCCUGGAGCCUAGAAAGGAUUUUAUAACCAGAAUCUACUUAAAUAUAUAUUAACUUUAUAUAGAGGGUCUUUGAUGGUUUCCCUAAAAUAAGUACCAUUGUUUUAAUGUUAAGUAUUUUAUGAUUAAAUUGUUUCUAAAUUUUAAUUUGGAGAAUGUGGUCAAAUUUACAUGAGACUGAAAAAAGAAUUUUAUUUUUGAAUGUUUAAAGCAUUUAACAUUUUCACCAUUAACAUCACAGAAUUUCCCUGGACUAGUACACAUUUUGCCAGUCCAAGGGUGAAUAAUAUACAUUACAGCUUAGCAAGUGUAUGUACCCUACUUUCUUUCUAAUCCUAGAAAAUUUAAAAAUUCAAAUAUAUUCAUAGACAUACAUUUUUAAACAGCUGCUUAUAUGUGAAUGCAGGUAUUAAGUUUAUUUUAACUUAUUUAUCAGUCUUUGAAUACAGUAGUUGCUCUUGCAUGUUUAUGUUUUAUAUCUUUGAUUCCUUUGUUAGUAUUGAAAGAAAUUUAAUUUUAGACUUCAGACUGUCUUCUCUUUUAUUUUAGAUUCUAAUAUUAUAUUGACAUUUUAUCUUAUC